rnacentral:lncRNA from 1 species
GACUUUAUAAGUCAGCAGCCGUAACAGUUGGCUCAGUGUGAAGAGCUGUACAUAUAGUGAAGAGGGACAAGCUUGGGAAACUGUGUGACAAACACAUCUAAUAUAAAUACGUUUGUGAUAUUUUGAAAAAAGACAACACGUUCAGAGCUUCGUCAUGCAUGUGUGGCAUGUGCUGUGUGUGCUUGGCUUCGUGGGUGCAUCCUUGUGUGUGAAUGAGGUUGAGUGUGAAGGGAACUACGCAGGCAACUCUGACAACGAGAUCUCUCGGGACCAGCAGGAGGGGGGAACUCCAACCACACCAUGCCAGCCUGCAGAUGUCUCUCGCUGGGACAAGCUUUUCAUUGCUCUGGAAGACUCUCACAUGAGGCAGAACAUGCUACUGGAGUCUCUGGAGCAAUGCUGUGGAGGAACGGUUUCUCUCAGGACCCAUGUGGAAAAGCUGGCUAAGGGGGCAUGCAUGCAGUGUCUACCCAGCCUGGAGUCAGCAUGCAGGGCGCAAGCCGAGCAAGCGAGUGUCAGGCUGCAACAUGGCCUGCUGGAGCUUCGCGAGCAGGGAGCGGAGAGGGAGAGGAGGUUAAACGUUACCUUGCAUCAACUCCUGCACGGUGGCCACGAGGUGAAUGCCCGGCUGAAGCAGCUCGAGGAAGGUAGAAGCCACAGAGUGGUACCAUCAGGAGCUGCAGGCAGCGGGAUGGGGCGCCAACCAACACCGAGACCUGGGGGAUUUGGGGCAUUAGCAUUUGGCUUGGGGAUGAAGCCAUUCACAUCCAGCUUGAAGGAGCAGGAAGUGACUUCCCCACUGGACAUGGCCACAAUGGAAAGGGCCCUGCUUUCCAUAGCAACAGAGCUGCAGAGCGUUCACCUGCAGCUGAGCAGAGUGAUGGAGUAGACAGGAACACUGAGGAAGGAGAGAGGGGACACAUGAAUUGCCCAGAGGGAAAAAAUAAUAAUACAAUAAAAGAUGACUGGGGACACUACAGUAAUAAUGAUUUUGCACAUGCUUGGUUUUUAAUGUUGUUUUUAAGGGGCCUUUUUUUGUAAUUAUGUGAGCUUGGUUUUGUCUGGUGACAAUGAAUUUAAAUGUACCAUAAAUGUUGUGGGCUUACUACAAUGAAUAAAGACAAUUUAAACAACCUGAUCAGCCUCAUGGAAAGGUUUCCUCCCUCCUCCCACACAGUU